GUGAGCCAGUACAGGAUGGACCCGCGUCUGAGUAGCUAGUUGUGAAGGUAACGGCUUACCAAGGCGACGAUCAGUAGCCGACCUGAGAGGGGGAUCGGCAACAUUGGAACUGAGACACGGUCCAAACGCCUACGGGAGGCAGCAGUGGGGAAUAUUGCACAAUGGGCGAAAGCCUGAUGCAGCAACGCCGCGUGAGUGAUGAAGGCCUUCGGGUCGUAAAACUCUGUCCUCAAGGAAGAUAAUGACGGUACUUGA
rnacentral:rRNA from 1 species